GAUGAACGCUAGCGGCAGGCCUAACACAUGCAAGUCGAGGGGUAGCAGGAUUAAGCUUGCUUAAUUGCUGACGACCGGCCCACGGGUGCGUAACUCGUAUGCAACCUACCUGAUACUGGGGUCUAGCCCGGAGAAAUUCGGAUUAAUCCCCCACAGUACUAAUGAAUCGAAUGGUUUAUUAGUUAAAGCAUUGCGGUAUAAGAAGGGCACUGCGUCCUAUUAGCUAGAUGGAAGUAACGGCUCACCAUGGCUACGAUAGGUAGGGGGCCUGAGAGGUUGGUCCCCCACACUGGUACUGAGACACGGACCAGACUCCUACGGGAGGCAGCAGUGAGGAAUAUUGGUCAAUGGGCGCAAGCCUGAACCAGCCAUGCCGCGUGCAGGAAUAAUGCCCUAUGGGUUGUAAACUGCUUUUAUUUGGGAAUAAACCUCUUUACGUGUAGAGAGCUGAAGGUACCAAAUGAAUAAGCACCGGCUAACUCCGUGCCAGCCGCCGCCGUAA
rnacentral:rRNA from 1 species